GACGAACGCUGGCGGCGUGCCUAAUACAUGCAAGUCGAACGCAGUGGGGACGGGUGAGUAACACGUGGGUAACGUCACAUAAGUGGGGAUAACACUUGGAAACAGGUGCUAAACCGAUACUGAUGGAUGGACCCGCGGUGCAUUAGAUAGUUGGUGUGUUAACGGCUCACCAAGGCCACGAUGCUUACCCGACCGGAGAGGGUGAUCGGCCACACUGGGACUGAGACACGGCCCAGACUCCUACGGGAGGCAGCAGGAGGGAAUCUUCGGCAAUGGACGAAAGUCUGACCGAGCAACGCCGCGUGAGUGAAGAAGGUUUACGGAUCGAAAAACUCUGUUGUUAGAGAAGCGGUAUCUAACCAGAAAGCCACGGCUAACUACGUGCCAGCAGCCGCGGUAAUUC
rnacentral:rRNA from 1 species